rnacentral:rRNA from 1 species
AAAAAAAUUUAAUUUAUAUUUAAAUUUAAUUUAAAAAUUUAGAAUAAUAUAUAAAUUUUUGUUAAAAAUUAAAUUAAAUUAAUAAAAAUUAAAUUAAUAAUUAAAAUUUUAUAAUAAAGAAAUUUAUAUUUUGUAAAAUUUAAAAUUAAUUAAUGAAAAAAGUGCCAGCAAUAGCGGUUAAACUUUUAAUUAAAAAUUAAAAAAAUUAAUUAAUUAAUAAAUUGAAUUAAUUAAUAAUUAAUAAUAAAUUAAUAUUAAAAUAUAUGGUUAAAUAAAUAUAUUUAAUAGUUAUAAUAGUUAAUAUAUUAAUAAUUAAAAUGAAGUUAAUAAAAUUAAAAUUGAAAAAUUAGGAUUAGAUACCCUAUUAUCUUAAUGUAAAUAAAUAAUUUUAAUAAAGUAAAUUUUUUAAAUUAAAUAAAUAAAUUUGACGGUAUUUUAUUUUAUUCAGGGGAAUUUGUUAUAUAAUUGAUAGUACACGAUAAGAAAUACUUAAAUUAAUAUAUUUAUGUAUAUUCGUUUAUAAUUUUUUUUAAUUGAAAUAAAUUUUUUAAUUUUAAAAUUGAAAAAGAAAUUCAGAUAAAUAAGUAAUUUAUAUUUAAGAAUUUAAAUGAAUUAUAAUAAAUUAUAUUUAUAAAUUUAAAGUUUUAAUAUUUAAUAAUUUUUAAGAUUUGAAUGUAAAUUAAAUUAAUAAAUUUAAUUGAUAAUAAAAUAUUAAAAUAUGUACAAAUUGCCCGUCAAUUUAAUUAAUAAAUAAUUAAUAAAUAAAUGAUUUUAAAAAAAUAAAAGUUUAUUAAUUUAUUUAAAUUAAAUAAGUCGUAACAAAGUAAAAUUACUGGAAAGUGAUUUUA